GGUGACAGAGACAGACUCUGUGUCAAAAAAAAAGAAAAAAGAAAAAAAGAAGUUAACAUACAAAACCCAACAGCCUUCAUAUAUACAAAGAACUGUAUGCUUCUGCUAGGCUGUCUCCACUCAGAAACAAUUACAACAGUAUGUGAAGCAGUAUUGAAAACUUCCCAAGCUGCACACAGAUUCAUUGAAAAGGGCAGAAGCCUCAUUAAUACUAGAGUCUGAAGCACAACCUAUGACCGAACACUGGCUG
rnacentral:lncRNA from 1 species